CAGCAGGUUUCCCAAGGCAGCAAUCCCUGAUGUGCAAACACUGCUGAUGAGAAGCUGGGGGUGCGUUCCACCAUUCUGCAUCCUGACACGCUCAGAGGAGGACAAAUUUAGAAGGUACACACUUCAUCUCUCUCCUGUAUAAACUCAUGAAUUAGUACCACAUAAGUACUACAUCAAGCAAACAGCUGCAGCACAUGAUUCUCUGAGCUGGUAAUGAUUCAACACUGGUAGGGAAAGGACAGAGCUAUGAUACCACUUCUGACACACACCGUUGAGCAUCUUACUCUACUGGGUACUUUCAUGAUGUUCCAUAUUCACUCCGUUGUCUUCAUUUUGCUGGAAAGACUUGGGAUGUAUUACAACGAAUGUCUGAGAGAAAAUGAGG
rnacentral:lncRNA from 1 species